AUUGAACGCUGGCGGCAUGCUUUACACAUGCAAGUCGAACGGCAGCGCGGGCUUCGGCCUGGCGGCGAGUGGCGAACGGGUGAGUAAUACAUCGGAACGUGCCCAGUAGUGGGGGAUAGCUCGGCGAAAGCCGGAUUAAUACCGCAUACGACCUGAGGGUGAAAGCGGGGGAUCUUCGGACCUCGCGCUAUUGGAGCGGCCGAUGGCAGAUUAGCUAGUUGGUGGGGUAAAGGCCUACCAAGGCGACGAUCUGUAGCUGGUCUGAGAGGACGACCAGCCACACUGGGACUGAGACACGGCCCAGACUCCUACGGGAGGCAGCAGUGGGGAAUUUUGGACAAUGGGCGAAAGCCUGAUCCAGCAAUGCCGCGUGUGUGAUGAAGGCCUUCGGGUUGUAAAGCACUUUUGGCGGGAACGAAAAGGACUGUGCCAAUACCACGGUUCGAGGACGGUACCCGCAGAAUAAGCACCGGCUAACUACGU
rnacentral:rRNA from 1 species